CAAUUGCAAUGUUGGGUUAUUUGGUCACUAAUAAAACAGUGGUCAAUCCAAAGAGCAAUGGAAUGAGCAGAAGACUCCUUCAGAAGGGAAGACUUCUCAGGCGAAGUAACAUGAGGCAUUGAAUGAUGAGCAGCAAAGCAACAUGGUCAGCUCUGCACGUGGAAAAAUGUGGUGUGAAAAUGUGGGGAGAGGAAGAGAGAGAUUUUUCAUUUAAAGGAGCUACAGAUUGAUGAGCAUUACCCCUGAAAUAUGUUCUUGCCGAGGUCCUAGAAGUGACACACCACCCGGCCUUUAUCCUCAGCUUGGCACUGUACCCAACAGAAUCCAUCUUGUCUAGGAGGCAGAAAAAUAUGCAGAAUCAACACACUUAGGAAGACGUGCAUGGAUUUAAAUAAAGCCCUU